GCUAGUGAGUGAGCUUGUAUGUGUGUCAGUGAGCUUGUCUGUUGGGAUCAUGUGUGUGUAUGUGUUAGUGAUCUUGUCUGUAGGGUGCACAGGUGUGUCUGAGCCCAUCUGUGGUGAGCAUGUGUGUGCAGUGAGCUUGUCUAUAGUGAGCAUGUGUGUGUCAGUGAGCUUGUCUGUAGUGAAUCUGUGUGUUAGUUAGCUCUUCUGUAGGGAGCAUGUGGGUGUCAAUGGGCUUGUCUGUAGUAAGCUUGUGUGUAUAUCAGUUUGUCUGUAAU